UACGUAGGGGGCGAGCGUUGUCCGGAUUUAUUGGGCGUAAAGAGCUCGUAGGCGGCUUGGCAAGUCGGGUGUGAAACCUCCAGGCUCAACCUGGAGACGCCACUCGAUACUGCCAUGGCUAGAGUCCGGUAGGGGACCACGGAAUUCCUGGUGUAGCGGUGAAAUGCGCAGAUAUCAGGAGGAACACCGGUGGCGAAGGCGGUGGUCUGGGCCGGCACUGACGCUGAGGCGCGAAAGCGUGGGGAGCAAACAGG
rnacentral:rRNA from 1 species